rnacentral:rRNA from 1 species
AGGGGAUCUUCGGACCUUUCGCUAUGAGAUGAGCCUGCGUUAGAUUAGCUAGUUGGUAUGGUAAAGGCCUACCAAGGCGACGAUCUAUAGCUGGUCUGAGAGGACGAUCAGCCACACUGGGACUGAGACACGGCCCAGACUCCUACGGGAGGCAGCAGUGGGGAAUAUUGGACAAUGGGCGAAAGCCUGAUCCAGCAAUACCGCGUGUGUGAAGAAGGCCUUAGGGUUGUAAAGCACUUUCAAUUGGGAGGAAAACCUGCCGGCCAAUACCCGGUAGCUUGACAUUACCUUUAGAAGAAGCACCGGCUAACUCCGUGCCAGCAGCCGCGGUAAUACGGAGGGUGCGAGCGUUAAUCGGAAUUACUGGGCGUAAAGCGUGCGUAGGCGGUUCGUUAAGUCAGAUGUGAAAGCCCUGGGCUCAACCUGGGAACUGCAUUUGAAACUGGCGGACUAGAGUUUAGUAGAGGGGAGUGGAAUUUCAGGUGUAGCGGUGAAAUGCGUAGAUAUCUGAAGGAACACCAGUGGCGAAGGCGGCUCUCUGGACCAGAACUGACGCUGAGGUACGAAAGCGUGGGUAGCAAACAGGAUUAGAUACCCUGGUAGUCCACGCCGUAAACGAUGUCAACUAGC